rnacentral:snRNA from 1 species
UGCUCAUUUCUGCAACAAUACAGUAAAACUGAAACUAUACAGGAUUAGCGUGGCCCCAUACAAGGACAGCAUGGAAGUUUGCGAAGAUUUCCGUAUUUUU